AAGGGAUGGUUUUGUGUAG
rnacentral:piRNA from 1 species